AUGUCUCCCAGGGACGUUUUGGAAGAAAAAAAAAGUGAAAAUACCAUCACAGUAAAAGUAGGAAUGGUUGGAGAUGGAUCUACAGGAAAGACAUGCCUUAUGAAGCGAUAUGUUAAUAAUCAGUUUGAUGAAGACUAUAACUUAACUAUGGGUGUAAAUUUUCUGGAAAAGAAAAUUCGAUUUAGAAAUACUGUUGUAACUUUUUCAAUUUGGGAUUUAGGAGGAAAUCGUGAGUUCUCCAACAUGCUUGGCCUCGUGGUAAAAGAAGCUACUGCCGUUUUAUUUAUUUUUGAUUUAACUCGAAGAGCAACACUUGCCAGUAUACGCGAAUGGUAUAAAAAUUCUACUAAACUUCAAAAGAACUUUUUUCCGCUAUUAGUGGGCACUAAAUAUGAUUUGUUUGCUGGACUCGACGAGGAAACUCGCGUGGAAACGCUGCACGGAGCGCGGAAAUUUGCUAAAGCGAUGGGAGGCGCUCCGCUUAUUUUUUGCUCAUCUAAAUUAAAUAUUAAUUGUGAUGCCAUUUUCAAGAUUGUAUUUAGUUUAACGUUUAA